AUUGACAUGUUGCAAGACCAUUAGACUCGUCUGGAACUUCGAGAGUAUAAAGUUAACUAAAAGUAAUUCAAGUAUACUUUAGGAAGCUACGUCUUUUGUUCUGAAUAGCUAUUUGAAAAGAGGGUAGGUAGAACAAUAUUAUGUUAUAUUUUCUUAUAGAGAUAGAGAGAGAGCGAGAGAGAUAGAGAUAGAGAGACAGAGACAGAGAACUUGUAGAGUUUACCGCCGUUUCUAUUUAUAGGCUAGACACUGGUGAAAGUUGAUCAUUUGGAAGAAAAUUGGGUUAACGCUGUAUAAAAAUAAAGAGAGGAGGAAAAGUUUUAUUUUUACAAAGAUGAUUAAUUUUAAAUCUAUGAUAGAUUAUUUUACACUUAUGGAAACAGUCAAAACAUUACAAGUAUUGACGUAUGAGUUUCUAAUGAAACAUAUAGAAUUAUAUAUUGAAGACGAAAGAUUAUAUAAUGAAUGGAUGAAUAAAAGAUUAUCACCACUAUUGGCUGGAAGAUUAUUAUUCGAUUUGAAUGAUACUUUGCUAUUUAUUCCUGAAAAUAUACUGAAAUUAUUUAAUAAAGAUAUUUGCUUUUUCAAAGAGAUUAAACUAAAUUGUCGAAAUGUUUAUAAGAAUUCGUCAAUGGAGUUUUUAAAGGGUCAUGCCCUGAGUAAAGUUUCCAUUGAAUUUGCUAGAAAUAUCCUAUUGAAAGAUUGGAUUUGUUUUUUGGAUGAGACACUUGUAACCCAUCUAUCUAUAAAGGGAUCCAGAGUAUCUGAUAUUAGAUACAAGGAAGAAGCUAGAAGUAUUGCUUGCGUUACAUGCCUAAAACCUUUUCAGAACAUUGUACAUCUUGAUAUUUCAAGAACCGGAUUUGUCGAUGAACAAUUGAGAUAUAUUUCACGAGAGCUUCCCGGAGUUGAGCAUUUAAAUAUGUCGGAAACUUUAAUAACAGAUCUACGUCAUCUUGAAGCUUUUCCGAAAUUGAAUUCGUUAGAUUGCUCAUUUCCACUUGAUAUAAAAGUAUAUGGUACAUAUUUGGCUCUAUUACGUCUUAAAUCGCUUGAGUAUUUGGAUAUGUCGAGAGAAGACGGUAUUACAUACGACAAGCAAUUUUUGGGCUACAAUUACUGUAGACGAGUAGACGAGGACGAUAUUGAUGAUAUUAAAACUGGUACUAUUCCAAAGUGCUUCCUUACGAAAUAUAAAUGGAAAAUUGAUGAUUUUGUCAAUUAUGCUAAUUGGCCGAAUUUAAGUUAUAUUAAUAUGUCGGGAAGUUGGAGUCAUACUCUAUUUCCUUAUAUAAGAAAAUUUAUUGAGAGACAUACUAAGCUAAAAUAUUUGGGUCUAUUCGGUUUCGAAACGAAUAUGGAAAGAAAUUUAGACUCUAUUGAUCCGGAUAUACGUCAAUUUAUUGGAAUAACGAGUGAUAAGAAGAGAUGUGUUCAGCAUAGAGCUAAAUUUAUUAAGGCGAAUAGAGGAAACGAAUCACAUUUUGUGUACUUUCUAAAUUGGAUUUUGGGACACAGUAUCGAUGCUGAAGACGAAGAAUUAAAGGCUAAAGUUAAGGGAAUUGAAUACGAGAUUGCAGAGGUUGUCUUAGAUCAAUUAAAUGAAUUAAAGCAUUCAGUCUAUUCUUACGGCGAUUCUUCAAGGAAUAUAAUAUCCUUGUUAGAUACGUUUGUCGUAGUAAGGAUCAUUAAUUUACCCGCUUCGCAAACUAUUCUAAAAAUACUUAAAACUUGUGCUCAAGUAUUCCUGCAAAACGAUGAAGAUAGCUUUUGGACACACGAUUUAAGUGAUCUCUUUUUUAUAUUUAAUAAAUAUUUCACUCAUUUGAAUGAAGUUGCUGAUAGAAGUUUAAUUCUUAAAAGACUAUUUGACCAUCCAAAUCCAAAUAGAUGGACAUCGUAUUCGUAUGUCUUAUGCGAUUUUUUGAAUAAGAUCAUUGCGAAAAAGCUGCUGUCAACGAAGGAAAUUAUCUGUUUAACUGAAAGUUUCUAUAAGUUUGAACAUCGAUUAAAGUAUUUACUUAAAUUCGAUAAAGACGACGAAAUUAAAGAGAGUUAUGGUACUGUUAGAAAACUAAUGAAUCAUUACAUUCGUCAAUGCGAAGCUGAAUAUAACUUGGAUCUGAAACCUUGCGAUAAUAGGAAAUAAAAUGGGAAAUCUAUGGCUUUUGAUUUUGUGAGAAAUAUUUUUUUGUGUGUUCAAAUUUUGGAAAGAAAAAGAAAAAGAAAAAAAAAAGAAUAUUACAUGAACUUUUCUACAUUAAUACAUGUUCAACAUAUAUGUUCUUUCUAUUUAUGUAUUUAAUGAAUCUAUUUAUAAAUGCAUAUUUUUUUUAUUGUAUCCGUUA
rnacentral:misc_RNA from 1 species